UUUAUCAAGAGCCGGAGGGACAACUGCCAGCUCUCUCUGGGGACAAGCAGCCAUGGGACUGAGGUGCGGGAUGAGGACCACCAAGUGCCAGCUGCUGGUGACUAGCCUCUGUGUCAUGCUGCUAGGGUUGUCCAUUGCCACGCUGAGCACAGUCACCCACUAUGGGCCCCAUUUCAGCCUCAUCAGCGACAUCUCCCUGGAGAGCAACUCUUACAGAGUCAUCCACCACACAGCUUUCUACUUUGGGAUCUGCCUCAGCAUGACCCUGAUCCUAACAGCCCUGCUGAGCUGUGUCGCCAUGGUGCGGGAAUCGCAGAGCCUCACGGCCAUGGGAUUUUUCUGUUUUGCUGUGGCCUUCUGCGGAUUGAUCCCAGCUGCCUGGUGGAGAUACACGCACAGCACGGAGGUGGAAGACAGCAUGAUGGAUGUGUAUGAUCUUGUGUAUGAGGAGGUGAGGAGGAAUGCCUCCAGCUUCAGGAGGCACGAGCUGACUGCCAUCCACAAAGCAUUCCUGUGCUGUGGGAAGCACUCUCCGUUUGGGGACACAACCAACGUCGAGCGCAAGACAUGCCCACCCGGCCAGGCGCACGAUGCUGGACAGGACUGCCUGCGAGAGAUCCAGUUCUUCCUGAAGAAGCACAUGGACUUUGUCACCACACUCCUGGGCAUCGCCAUCGGCUUCACGGUUUAUGGAAUGAUCCUGACUUCAUUCCUCUGGUUCUCCAUCCACUUCAGCAGCAACCUGGACCGGAAAGGCAAAUACAUUCUGCGAGAGAGGUAGAAACCCAUCACCUGGGCAUCCCUACCAGACAAACCUCCAGCUCUAGCUGAGGACUUGGGAAGAGGAAGCACCCUAAGGCCAGGUGAUCACCUACAUGGCUGGGGAAUAUCAGCCAUGGCAGUGUACACAAGGCCUGGGAAGUAGGUAGCUUUUUCACAGGCCUGCCUGCAGCUGCCUGCUCUCCAAAGGACUGCGCAUUAGCAUGGUGCACGGCUGAGCACUCGAACUCAGCCCAUCCUCGCAAAGAGGGAAGUCAUCAGCCCUAUUCAUAGCACUUACACUCGAUACCCGCAUGUGACACCGAUACAUGAACUGAAUGUGUGCAAAUUAGUUUUACUUAUUUAUACAGCAGCAUUUUAUAAAGAGCUGAUAAAGCCGCUGAGAGUCUUUGAAAUGCAGUUCUGGUGCUUUAUGGACUGUACAGCAAGUAGUACAGCAUGACAAAUGAAUAUACAACACCUGAAAUCACACAUAAUCUUGGGAAACAAUAUCUAUUAUCUUGACACUGUAUCACAGUGGUGUUUUUUUUUCUUCCUGUACAUUAAGGUCAACGUUUUCAAAGGUACCCAGCUGAGCUCCUAAAAUAAAUAAAUAAUAAUAAAACAACCCUAAACAAAGCAAAUAGAAAGAUGUUUGGACAAAUCUUGAAAUCCUUUUCCACUUCCAAGUUUUGGAGAUGACUUUGUUUGUACAGCCAGAUGGGUGAACCCAGUUUAGACCCAGUAGGUUUUAGCCUGUAACUGGGAGCUUCUUGAUGCAGGAGAUGAUGGGGCUGUGCCCCUGCUCCCCCUGUCAGAGCCACAUCUGUGCCUCAGCCCUGCACAGGAUGGGCUCCAACACAGCCUGAAGGAAGGUCCCAGAAACAGGGCUGUGUUAGCUCCAAACCGGCUUGUUUGCUAAUACAAUUUUUGGAGGGUAUGAAAAGGUU